GUUUUCCUUUCUUGUAAUUUGUUUUUAUCGGUACAUCCGUCCGUGUAUCCGUCCAUCCAACCAUAUCCUGUAGUAUUGAAAUUUCUUAUUUGUUCUUAUUUUUGUUUUACUUCUAAGUUCAUUCUAAUUGCUAAGUUAUAUGUCAGAGUUAUAUAUUAACCAUUGACUUAUUUUGGUCUAUCGACAGUAGUGUAUACAGAUACACAUUGAUAACCUACAUGUAUCAGGCCGGACUAACGGACAAGUGUGGUAGAAUUUGACUUCAUUAAGCUGCGUCUACACAAGCAAGUUUACCUUCACAAGUACUCAUCUUUCAUGUAAACGGACUACUUGUUGUGUAACUGUCGAUUCGGAAACAAGAUACCAGAAGAUAUAUUUUACACAAGCCUACCUUUAGAAGAUAAAUGAUAUCGUGCUUGGCUCUUAGAGAAGAACAAAGCGUCUGGAAAGAAACAAAUAAUAACUGGGGUUGGAAUAAAGAAGAAAAUGCAAUUUGUGCAGAUGUUUUCUGGUGUAUUGGCUUAUAUUACCCAAGAGAUCUUUGCGGGCAUCGACUAUGGGCUGUGGGUGACUUGGAUAAUGCUUACUAUCAAUCACG